AUCUUAAUCCAUUUUAAAUUCUCUCUCUGUUUAUUAAGUUUAUUUUUUAUCUUUUUUUUUAUUUUAUUCAUCCUUCAUUAUUACCCAAAUUAAUUUUAAAAGAAGAACACCCAUUGUAAAAGAGUAAUGAGGUUUAAUGUAUUUUGUGGUUAUGGGCAGCCUGCUUCCUUGAGAACAUCAACGACAAAUGUUAACCCAGGAAGACGUUUUUUUGGAUGCAAGUACUACGGGGCUAAGGAUCGUGUGGCUUAUGGAUUUUUCCAGUGGUAUGAUCCAUAAUUUCCUGGCCAAUCGAAGGUGAUAAUUCUUGGCUUACAGAAGGAUAAAAUGGAACUUGAGGCUGAAUUGAAGAAUUUUUUUUUUUGGAAGAUGUUGCUUAUUAUUAGUAUAUGUUUCAAUGUGUAUUUUUGGUUGUUCAAAUGCUAGGAAGUGUUGUGUAAUCUGAAACUUGGUUGUUGGUUUUGUUUCAAAUGCUAGGAAGUGUAAUCUAAGACUUGGUUGUUGCUUUUAUUUCAAAUGCUAGGAAGUGUACUGUCAUUGCUAUAUAUUUGAUAGUUUCGCAUAAUUAAAAAUACAAGGAAAGCUAGAAAUAACACAUUGUAUUAGAGCUCAAAAGGCCUACAAUUGAUUAGUUUUACAUUACAUCCCAUAAGGUGCAUUGAAGUAAAACAAGCUUUAAUAGUUUACAUCAUAUUACAUCAUAACUUGCACCACAAAAAUAUUAUCCAAAACACAAUCAUAGUAUCGGCAUACAACAGUUCCCAAUAGAGUAGUGUUGAAGCUCAAACACCUCCAGUUUUUUCAUUAGCUUUUGGUGAUUUUGUCCUUAAAUACUGUAGUAAAGCACUUCUAUGUUGAAGUUGUCUAGUUGUGAUUGCUUGUUUUCCUUUCCAUUUCAGGCCUUUUACUUGGUUUAUAAUCAAGAUCACUGGUCACUAUAGCUGAACUUUCAACUGCUCCAUUGUUCCUUCAACUGUCGAUUACCCUAUUAACAGGCCUACCUUGCUGCAAAUUAAGUUUUAAAAAAACAGAUAUCAAACAAUAGAGUUUAACCUGCAACCUCAAAACUAGCAACCAAACUGCUAAUUGCCUCAAUACAUGUAUAGCCACUUUUGCUGACAAAUAUUCCAUGUCCCACUGCUCUUGGCCUCUUAAAUGCAGUAAGAGCAUCUCUGUUGCUUGCUUGAGAUUGUUGCACAUCUGAAACCUGAGAAUGCUGGACAUCUGAAACUUGAGAUUAUUGCACAUCUAAGUUUUGUGAGUUCUGCACCAUGCUGCUAUUGCUUCUUCCUUUACCACCCUUAGCUUUAGCAUUCUUCUUACUAGUAAAUGCUUGGGAGUCAGCCUUUGAUCUCUUUUUAGAGGUUGAUUUUUGUGAGUGAGCCACUCCCUUCCUUCUUCAGCGCAUUGACGUUUCCUUUUUUGUUUCCAGCACGUUGAAUCCACGGGUUUUUUUAAAAUUUGACAUCUCGUUAAUUUGGUAUGCAUAAGUUUCACAUAUGCCAAAUCAAAACUUAGGAGUAAAAUAUAUGCACUACAAACCAAUAAAUAUCAGCACUCAUUAUGGUGAUAAUAAACAGAACAUGCUAAAACAUAUAAAAACUCUGGAGUAAAAUAUAUGCACUAUAAAGCAAUCAAUAUCAGCACUCAUUAUGGUAAUAAUAAACAAAACAUACUAAAACAAAAUAUAGGUGUAUGUCUUCACUAAGCUAAGUCCUCAACAAGAAGAAUCUUCAUUGUACUAUCACUUCAACACUUACUUUACUUUUGUGGAGGUACAUAAGGCAAGGUGCAAAACGCUGAUAUGAAUUAUCGAUAAAACGUGUUAAAACAAAGUAAUUUAGCAGGCAUCAAAAGUUAAAACAUGGAUAUCUUAAAUA